rnacentral:rRNA from 1 species
AUGGAUUUGAUUCUGUGCUCAGAACGAACGCUGGCGGCGUUCCUAAUACAUGCAAGUCGAGCGAACCGACGGAAGCUGCUCCCUUUAGUUCAGGCGGCCGAACGGGUGAGUAACACGGUGGUUAACCUGCCUGUAAGACUGGGAUAACUCCGGGAAACCGGGCCUAAUACCGGAUGCUUGAUUGAACCGCAUGUUUCAAUCAUAAAAGGUGGCUUUUAGCUACCACUUACAGAUGGACCCGCGGCGCAUUAGCUAGUUGGUGAGGUAACGGCUCACCAAGGCGACGAUGCGUAGCCGACCUGAGAGGGUGAUCGGCCACACUGGGACUGAGACACGGCCCAGACUCCUACGGGAGGCAGCAGUAGGGAAUCUUCCGCAAUGGACGAAAGUCUGACGGAGCAACGCCGCGUGAGUGAUGAAGGUUUUCGGAUCGUAAAACUCUGUUGUUAGGGAAGAACAAGUACCGUUCGAAUAGGGCGGUACCUUGACGGUACCUAACCAGAAAGCCACGGCUAACUACGUGCCAGCAGCCGCGGUAAUACGUAGGUGGCAAGCGUUGUCCGGAAUUAUUGGGCGUAAAGCGCGCGCAGGCGGUUUCUUAAGUCUGAUGUGAAAGCCCCCGGCUCAACCGGGGAGGGUCAUUGGAAACUGGGGAACUUGAGUGCAGAAGAGGAGAGUGGAAUUCCACGUGUAGCGGUGAAAUGCGUAGAGAUGUGGAGGAACACCAGUGGCGAAGGCGACUCUCUGGUCUGUAACUGACGCUGAGGCGCGAAAGCGUGGGGAGCGAACAGGAUUAGAUACCCUGGUAGUCCACGCCGUAAACGAUGAGUGCUAAGUGUUAGAGGGUUUCCGCCCUUUAGUGCUGCAGCAAACGCAUAAGCACUCCGCGUGGAAAAG